GGAAACGAGUUAUCUGANCCUUCGGGGAANGAUAACGGCGNCNANNGNCGGACGGGUGAGUAAUGCCUAGGAAAUUGCCCUGAUGUGGGGGAUAACCAUUGGAAACGAUGGCUAAUACCGCAUAAUGCCUACGGGCCAAAGAGGGGGACCUUCGGGCCUCUCGCGUCAGGAUAUGCCUAGGUGGGAUUAGCUAGUUGGUGAGGUAAUGGCUCACCAAGGCGACGAUCCCUAGCUGGUCUGAGAGGAUGAUCAGCCACACUGGAACUGAGACACGGUCCAGACUCCUACGGGAGGCAGCAGUGGGGAAUAUUGCACAAUGGGCGCAAGCCUGAUGCAGCCAUGCCGCGUGUGUGAAGAAGGCCUUCGGGUUGUAAAGCACUUUCAGUCGUGAGGAAGGUAGUGUAGUUAAUAGCUGCAUUAUUUGACGUUAGCGACAGAAGAAGCACCGGCUAACUCCGUGCCAGCAGCCGCGGUAAUACGGAGGGUGCGAGCGUUAAUCGGAAUUACUGGGCGUAAAGCGCAUGCAGGUGGUUUGUUAAGUCAGAUGUGAAAGCCCGGGGCUCANCCUCGGAAUUGCAUUUGAAACUGGCAGACUAGAGUACUGUAGAGGGGGGUAGAAUUUCAGGUGUANCGGUGAAAUGCGUANAGAUCUGAAGGAAUACCGGUGGCGAAGGCGGCCCCCUGNACNGAUACUGACNCUCAGAUGCNAAAGCGUGGGGA
rnacentral:rRNA from 1 species